GAGGCGGCCAUCGCGGUCCAACCCCCCCCAGGCUCUGGGGACACCCAGAGGGACCCCCCUGAAGGACCCCCCCCACGAGGAGCCCCCCGUGGGGCGGCCCCCCAGCGCCGCGGCACCGCUGAGCGCACGCCCUAUUUAUAGUGCAGCGGUGGCCGGACCCCCCCACGUCACCUCUGCGUCCCCCCAUGUCACCUCUGUGCCCCCAUGUCCCCCCCUGCGUCCCCCCAUGUCACCUCUGUGCCCCCCCAUGUCCCCUCUGUGUCCCCCCAUGUCCCCUCUGUGUCCCUCUGGGAGCUGGGGGGGGGUGGAAGGGGGAACUGGGAAGAAACUGGGAGCUGGGGGGGGAACUGGGGAGGAACUGAGGGCAAACUGGGAGGCACUGGGAGGCACUGGGGGUCCCACCCGUGUCGCCCCCCCGCUCCACCCUGUGACUCAGUGGCCACCACCACCGGCACUGCGGUCCCCGCUGCUGUCCCCAGUGUCCCCAGUGUUGUCCCCGAUGCCCCCACUGCUGUCCCCAGUGAUGCCCCCAACGUCCCCAGUGCCACCACCAGUGUCCCCACUGCCAUCCCCAAGGCCACCACCAGCACUGCUGACCCCGAUGACAACAAUGUCCCCAAACCGCUGUCCCCAGCGAUGUCCCCAAGGGGUGACAUCCGAACGGCUGUCCCCAAACGGGUGUCCCCAAACGGGUGUCCCCAAAUGGGUGUCACCAAGGGAUGUCCCCACUGAUGUCCCCCCCCCCCGGGUCGCCCUGCUGGCCGCCGGAGGCACUGCGGGGAUGGGGGGGGGGAGGGGACAGCGCUGCGUGACAGCGUGUCACGUGACACCGCCGGGGGACACCAACGUGUGA
rnacentral:lncRNA from 1 species